rnacentral:rRNA from 1 species
UGGGGAAUCUUGCGCAAUGGGCGAAAGCCUGACGCAGCGACGCCGCGUGCGGGAGGACGGCCUUCGGGUCGUAAACCGCUGUUGCCCGGGACGAAUGCCCUUCGAUGGGAGUGAUCGGUACCGGGUGAGGAAGCACCGGCUAACUCCGUGCCAGCAGCCGCGGUAAUACGGAGGGUGCGAGCGUUGUCCGGAAUCACUGGGCGUAAAGGGCGCGUAGGUGGCUUACCAAGCGUGUGGUGAAAGCCCGGAGCUCAACUCCGGGUCGGCCAUGCGAACUGGCAGGCUAGAGCACGGUAGAGGCCAAUGGAAUUCCGGGUGUAGCGGUGGAACCUGCGUAGAGAUCCGGAAGAACACCGGUGGCGAAGGCGGUUGGCUGGGCCGUUGCUGACACUGAUGCGCGACAGCGUGGGGGAGCAAACA